UGAGCAAUCUGCCCUUCUCAUCGGAAUAAGCGUUGGAAACGACGUCUAAUGCCGAAUACGACCUCCUUUCGCAUGAUCGGAGGUGGAAAGCUCCGGCGGAGAAGGAUGAGCUCGCGGCCUAUCAGCUAGUUGGUGCGGGUAAUGGCCCACCAAGGCGACGACGGGUAGCCGGCCUGAGAGGGCGACCGGCCACACUGGGACUGAGACACGGCCCGGACUCCGUACGGGAGGNAG
rnacentral:rRNA from 1 species